rnacentral:rRNA from 1 species
UACGUAGGGGGCUAGCGUUGUCCGGAUUUAUUGGGCGUAAAGAGCGUGUAGGCGGCCAGGUAGGUCUGCUGUGAAAACUCGAGGCUCAACCUCGAGACGCCGAUGGAAACCAUGUGGCUAGAGUCCGGAAGAGGAGAGUGGAAUUCCUGGCGUAGCGGUGAAAUGCGCAGAUAUCAGGAAGAACACCCGUGGCUAAGGCGGCUCUCUAGUACGGUACUGACGCUGAGACGCGAAAGCGUGGGGAGCGAACAGG